GAGAUGGCGAACUGGCUGAGUAACACGUGGGGUAACCUGCCCCGAAGCGGGGGAUAACAUUUGGAAACAAGUGCUAAUACCGCAUAAUUAGUUGGAACCGCAUGGUUCCAACUUGAAAGAUGGCUCUGCUAUCACUUUGGGAUGGACCCGCGCCGUAUUAGUUAGUUGGUGAGAUAAAAGCCCACCAAGACGAUGAUACGUAGCCGACCUGAGAGGGUAAUCGGCCACAUUGGGACUGAGACACGGCCCAGACUCCUACGGGAGGCAGCAGUAGGGAAUCUUCCACAAUGGACGAAAGUCUGAUGGAGCAACGCCNCGUGAGUGAUGAAGGUUUUCGGAUCGUAAAACUCUGUUGUUAAAGAAGAACAAGUGUUAGAGUAACUGUUAACACUUUGACGGUAUUUAACCAGAAAGCCACGGCUAACUACGUGCCAGCAGCCGCGGUAAUACNUAGGUGGCAAGCGUUGUCCGGAUUUAUUGGGCGUAAAGCGAGCGCAGGCGGUUUUGUAAGUCUGCUGUGAAAGCCCUCAGCUCAACUGAGGAAGUGCAGUGGAAACUACAAAACUUGAGUACNGAAGAGGAAAGUGGAACUCCAUGUGUAGCGGUGAAAUGCGUA
rnacentral:rRNA from 2 species